AAAAAGCUCGUAGUCGGAUUUUGGCUGAGAACGGUCGGUCCGCCGUUAGGUGUGCACUGACUGGUCUCAGCUUCCUGGUGAGGAGGUGUGCUUCAUCGCCACUUAGUCACCGUGGUUACUUUGAAAAAAUUAGAGUGUUCAAAGCGGGCUUACGCUUGAAUAUAUUAGCAUGGAAUAACACCAUAGGACUCCUGUCCUAUUUCGUUGGUCUCGGGACGGGAGUAAUGAUUAAGAGGAACAGUUGGGGGCAUUCGUAUUUCAUUGUCAGAGGUGAAAUUCUUGGAUUUAUGAAAGACGAACUUCUGCGAAAGCAUUUGCCAAGGAUGUUUUCAUUGAUCAAGAACGAAAGUUGGGGGCUCGAAGAUGAUUAGAUACCAUCCUAGUCUCAACCAUAAACGAUGCCGACUAGGGAUUGGCGGAUGUUAAUUGAUGACUUCGCCAGCACCUUAUGAGAAAUCAAAGUUUUUGGGUUCCGGGGGGAGUAUGGUCGCAAGGCUGAAACUUAAAGGAAUUGACGGAAGGGCACCACCAGGCGUGGAGCCUGCGGCUUAAUUUGACUCAACACG
rnacentral:rRNA from 1 species